GUCAGGUUGGCCGAGUGGUCUAAGGCGCCAGAUUUAAGCUCUGGUUCCCAUUUGGGAGCGUGGGUUCGAACCCCACACCUGACA
rfam:Papilio xuthus contig16572, whole genome shotgun sequence.